AGCAGCUCUGAGGAUAGCAGAUGAGGAUAUGGUCCACACUAUUAUAGACUUUCUUUCAUAUCUCAAAUUAAAAGAAAUCGGAGCUCUCGACAGUCUGCCUUCCUCGCUCACGUCAGAGGAAACAAGUCAAGCCUAAUUUUGACCGAAUCCAGCACUGGCACCGUGACCUCCACCGCACCCGGCUGAACUCGCUCUCAGAGGCUGUAUUAACGUUCAGCGUCUUCUCCACCGCACUGUUCUCGACACGCUAAACUCUCAAUAUCACCACGCAACUUUAAUCUGUCAGAAUCACUUGACGGCUGGUGUGGAGAUGGAUUCAAAAAAUAAAACUCAUAAAUGGCAUUCGACUCA